rnacentral:misc_RNA from 4 species
AAGAACGGUACAAUGGCGCCACUCGCUGUUCAGCGAGGCAUGUAGUGGUGGCCCCAUCGGUCCCCCCGCAUUGAUUACCCGUUAACCUGGUCAGGCCCGGAAGGGAGCAGCCAUAGCGGGAACAUCGAGUGCCGGGGUGUGGCUGGUGGGGCCGCCUCCAUUCUU